GGCCCCUAAUUAGUAAUUGAAGGGCUCCCGCAUCCUUUGGGCCGUUUCCUCCCUCACGGCGUUUGCAAGGUUUCUCUUUUUUUCUCUACCCCUUCCCCAGAUGCGGCGCACGAUCGUCAUUAUUUGGAACUCUCUAUCUCCGACAUCCUUUGGGGGCCCUGGUGGGGGGCAGGAACGGCGUUGUUCUAUGCCUGUGGCGUGUCCUGGCAGCCCGGUGGCUCUCAAAAACUCUGAGAAAGUCGCGUCUUCCUCCCGCGCGCUGAGGAGGUGGCAACGCGGUAAGCAUCGCCCGGGUCUCGGAGACAUCUGCUCCGGAACGGGUGCAGGGCCCCGUCCGGUGCACUUGUUUAUUGUCGCGCCGCGGGUGCGAGCCAAGCUGCAGCAGACAUGAUGGGCCCGGGGCGAAGCGGGCGCUCGGUGGCCGAUAGAUGGCAGCCGAGGGCGAAGGCGUCCCCUGGCUAGGGCGGCGCAACCGGAGCCCCCCUUGGAUGUCACAUUCGUGGGAGACAGAGGAGUCUUGGACCCUGUGCGUAAUACGAGCGUGGGACUGUGCGGUCCUCGGAUUGGGAAAGGGAGGAGUGGAAAUAACCCCGACAGUGCCGGGCUUGGUGGUGGUCAGGAACAGAUGAUUGCAGCCCAGUGCUGAUCGCCUGCCUUCCUCCUGCCAUGCAGAAGCCCAGAACCCAUGCUACUGUCUCCUGUACAUACUGUACAUACUGUAAAGGACCCUGGGAAAGGGAGUGGCUCGCCCUAGCUGCAAACAAGGGCGCUACUUUUUAAAAAAUAUAUAUAUAAUUACUUUUCAUAGGUAUGUCUGGGCAGUACAAAGGAAGGUGAACGACUUUCAGAGAGUGUUUCUGAAUACAUUUGGUGUGUACUAAAAAGCUGGAAAGCCCCUAAAUACAGGCAGUAUCGAUAGAAAGCGAGUUUCUUGAAGACUCACCUGCUAAACUCCACUAGAGUCAUCUCUACAGAUCCCUCCAGUUAAUCAGAACUGAUUUCAUCGACAACUUGUUCUGGUUAAUUACCUCAGCGUUUUAACUGAAUGCCCCAAGGUAUUGAUGUAGUCAACGACCACUUCAAGCCUCAGAAUAUUAGAAAUCUUGGCAGAACUCUGGAGACAGUUCAUCAAUAUCUAAGGCACACUGGUUCACGACUGUGAUUCUGUCAUUUUGGGAGACCAUGGCAGAGGACUACUUGGGGGCAAAAGUUCUUCAUGUACCUGGAAUCCUAGCUACUUGAAAAGCUGAGACAGAAAGAUCUCUUGAGCUCAGUGAGUUGAGACUGAAGUGAACUAUGAUUGGACAGUGCAAUCCUGUCUGGGAAAAAGAAAAAAAGAAAAGAAAAGAAAAAAACAAAGUUGGGUUGUAAAAGUCUGGGUGCAAAAAUAUAAUUUUAUCAUUUUCUUAGAGAAAAAAAAUGAGUUCAAAUUUUUAAUGACUCAACUUAGAAAUGUUUUGUGAUAAAAAUAAAAUGUUUCUUGACAAGUGCUUGUAUGUAAAAAAUAUUUUCUUUAUCUGUGUAUACUAUGUGGUGUUUCUCAUACUUUCUACUACCGAUAGAUUGCGGUCUAAAUAAAAGUACUUUUUAGGUUUCACAAGUUCUAUACUAGAAUUUUCCUUUAAUUCUAUCUUUCUAUUUUAAUAUUAAUUUAAUGAUAACUUUAUGUAAGAACAUUCAUGAGAGCAAUAAACUUGUAUGAGCAAAUACA